rnacentral:rRNA from 1 species
CCUACGGGAGGCUGCAGUGGGGAAUAUUGGACAAUGGGGGGAACCCUGAUCCAGCGACGCCGCGUGAGUGAAGAAGUAUUUCGGUAUGUAAAGCUCUAUCAGCAGGGAAGAAAAUGACGGUACCUGACUAAGAAGCCCCGUCUACCUACGUUCCAGCAGCCGCGAUAAUAUGUAGGGGGCAAGGGUUAUCCGGAUUUACUGGGUGAAAGGGGAGCGUAGACGGUGCAGCAAGUCUGAUGUGAAAGGUCGGGGCCCAACCCGGGACUGCAUUGGAAACUGUUGAACUGGAGUACAGGAGAGGUAGGCGGAAUUCCUAGUGUAGCGGUGAAAUGCGUAGAUAUUAGGAGGAACACCAAUGGCGAAGGCGGCCUGCUAGACAUUAACUGACACUGAGGCGCGAAAGCGUGGGGAGCAAACAGGAUUAGAUACCCUUGUAGUC